UCAUUCAACAUCCGAAACAGCGUUUGUUCCUUUUAGGGGGUUGGGGGCUGGGAAGGAGAUAAGCAAUGCCCAUCCCGACUCAGGAGCACAGAGACAGCCCACUACCCACAGGAGGCGAGCCGGUGACCCUGGGGCUGGUGAGUAAAAGAUCCGCCUGAGCCAGUUCAAGGAGAGACGGCAACCCAUGCAGUGUGAUUCGUAUGAAAGGGAAACCCGGGCUCAGGAAACUUAAAAAAAAACACGCACAUCCACGCUGGGACCAUCUUGAGUGACACUGCAGGAAAAGGGAGAGCUAGCUCAUUCCUGAGCCUUGCCCUUGUGCAUCGAAGAGCUGAUGUGAACAGAAACUGCUGAAGCUGACUCUGAAAACUAAGAGGGAAGGAGACAGGUCUUUGGAGCUCUAACUGGAAACAAAGCUGGGUUAAUAAAGUCAAAACCAUGAGCCAAUUUUGGAACCAAUUGCAGGCUGGCAGUUCAGAAGUGGACUGGUGUGAGGGAAAUUACAUGAUUGUCUCAAACAUUGCUGAAUUUUACAACACGAUCAGCAAUAUUUUAUUUUUUGUGUUGCCACCGAUAUGCAUGUAUUUGUUUCGACAAUAUGCAACAUGUUUCAACAGUGGGAUAUAUCUAAUUUGGACUUUGCUUGUUGUUGUAGGUAUAGGCUCAGUUUAUUUUCAUGCAACUUUGAGUUUCAUUGGACAGAUGUUAGAUGAACUAGCAAUCCUUUGGGUUCUGAUGUGUGCCCUGGCUAUGUGGUUCCCCAGACGAUAUUUACCAAGGAUUUUUCAACGAGACAGGAGUCGAUUUAAGGCUGCUGUUGGCAUUCUGUCUGGUGUUGCCACAUGUCUUGCAUUUGUGAAACCAGCAAUUAACAACAUCUCAUUGAUGACAUUAGGAGUUCCCUGUACAGCUCUUCUUGUGGCUGAAUUAAGAAGGUGUGAAAAUGUCCGUGUUUACAAGCUGGGUCUCUUGGCAGGUUUUUGGUGGGCUCUCGCUAUACUGUGCUGGAUUAGUGACAACCUUUUCUGUGAACUCUGGUCUGCAUUCAACUUCCCGUACCUACAUUGUGCCUGUGCAGCCCUCAAUGCUUCAUUUCUGAAAAAAGGGUGGAAAUCUGUGCAUACUGUGAAAACCUGAAGAAAAAUCCACCUCCCAAAAGGGUUAUUUUUCUGCUUGGUCAGACUUGCAAUGAAAUUUAAGGUUGAGGUUGGGAUUGCCUAAUACUGUUUCAUCGCUGGUGAAUACAUCCUAAAUCGGAGCUUCGAGUAUCAGUGUCAGAAAAUUGAGGUAGAUGCAAAUGAGUGGUGACAAGAUUUAAAUUUCACAUUUAAACCUACAACCCUUUGCUGUGUGUGUCCGUGGAUAAAAUCUUUAGGUCUGUACUCAGAGACACAGAGUGGCAAAUUAAACAUCUCUCAGAUUUGAUAAGGAUCAGCUGGAAAUGAGUUCAGUUUGCCCAUUAUGGGUAUAAUAUUGGAAAAGAUGUAGCAUGGAUUUCUUAGGCUGCCACCAGGGAAAAGGGGUCAGGGGUCAUGAUCAAAAACUUGAGAAAUUAUAAAUAUUUUCACUUGAUGGGUACAUAACUGCAUUUCUUUUGUAGAAAUGUAACCAUUAACUACCUACUACCUGAGACUACUUUGUAUCAUUUAUAGGUCUGUCCUAUAAAUUUGUGAUGAUAUUUCAAGGUGUUGCAGUUUUAGUUAGUUCCUUUCUCUCUGCUAUAUCAAUUAUCCACAAUAAUGUCAGUCAAAACAAUGACCUCCACUAUUAAGCUGAUAAGCUGCUUUGAUAUAAACAUUAUUUCAAGAACAGCAUUCUUGCACUUAAAAAAUUAUUUUUCCAAGUUUUCGAAAUUAUCAGCCAUAUUUGGUGAUAAAGUAUAUUUUGCUUUUCAGAAAUCAUUAUUUAUAAAGCAAAUGAUGCAAAUACUUAUUUCAUUAUGAAUCAUGAGUUGCUUUAGGAUUUGGAACUAGUAAUUUAAUUUUAAAUGGAAAUAAACAUUAAUUGGAUUUAUAGUAAGCAUAAUUUUAACUAAUGUGCUAAAAUCCAUUUAGAAUUAAUUCUGUAUGUGUAUUUUUAUAUGUCCGCUUUAAAAAUGAUUGGGAUAGAAUGCUUGGUGAUGAAUGAAAUCUUGGUUAAAUUAAAAAAUUUUCAAAACAAAUUUGUUUCAUUUUUGGCUCCUUAAAAUUGCUAUAAUAGAGAAAACAGCUCUGAAUCUGCAAAGUUUUCUUGCAUAGUUUUCAGGCUUCAUUUAUUUCUGCUUCCCAAGAUAUUUUAGUAGUUAUUCCCAAGACUUUACCUUGGUUUGCAACAUACUCAAAUGACAUUCCCCCAGUAUCACUCUGUUACUUGCUGCUGAGAGUUAUAUGUCGCUGGUUUCCUCCGACCAAAAGUUCAUAGGUUUGUAUUCAGAUUUCCUGCUCUCAUCCAGCUUCUCCCAAUGUUGCAUCUGAAAUUAGAGAAUAGCAGUUGCAACUUAUACUGUAAAGUUUUAGGUGGCAUUAAAGCUACGAAUGCAUGGCACUAUCCCUCUUGUUAUGCAUUAAAAUACAGAAGCAGUGUUGCAUCUGGUAACAUACUGUACUAAAUUAUGCUACCUUCAUCUACACCAGUGCCGUAACUGUGCUAUUUAAUAUUACAACACAAUCACAUUGAGGUACAGAACGAGACUAAUGUAUUUUCUUACAUUGACAGACCAAAAAAUGAUAGGUUGUUUUAUGCUAUGCUUCGUUCUGACCACAUAGAUGCUGCUAAAGUUUAAAAUGGAUUAUUUCAGGUCUCCUUAAUUUUUUUCAAAGAAAUAAUCUUGGAUUAAUAUGGAAAUCUGCAUUCAUGUACUUUAUUAAGAAAAUGGAAGACCUAAAUAAAAGCUUCUACUUGUAAAUAUACUCAUCUUUUUAACCUGUUUUGUU